GAUGAACGCUAGCGGCAGGCCUAAUACAUGCAAGCCAAGGGCUGUUUGGUUUAUCGCUACGUCAAACAACCGGCGGACGGGGGCUUAACGCGGAUGCAACCUCCCCUAUACAGGAGGUUAGCCCUCGGAAACGAGGAUUAAUACUCCAUAAGAUUGCUUAGAGGCAUCUUUAAGCAAUUAAAUCUGCGUGGCGGUAUAGGAUGGGCGUGCGUCCGAUGUGCUAGGGGUUGAGGUAACGGCUCACCAGUGCGAUGAUCGGGAGGGGUUCUGAGGGGAAGAUCCACCAAAGGGGGACUGCGACACGGGCCCGACUACUACGGGAGGAAGCAGUAAGGAAGAAUGGACAAUGGGUGAAAGCCUGAUGCAGCCAGGCCGCGUGCAGGAAGAAGGCCCUAUGGGUUGUAAACUGCUGUUGAGAGGGAGAAAUACGAGGGACGAGUCGCUCGAUGAUAGUACUUAGCGAAGAAGCACCGGCUAACUACGUG
rnacentral:rRNA from 1 species